CAUAAUCAUUUGUCCACUAAUUAUGGACUAGCAUGAAAGGCAAAAUGAGGGUUUAACUGUCUCUUAUAGUAAGUCAAUUAAACUGAUCUACCAGUAAAAAAGCUGGAAUAAACACACAAGACCAGAAGACCCUGUGAAGCUUAAACUAAACUAUUAAACCACAUAAUAACUACUUUCGGUUGGGGCGACCUUGGAAAAUAAAAGAACUUCCAAACUAGUGACAAUCAAUCACCCCCAGGCCAACAAGCCACAUAUGACCCAGCACACCUGAUAAUUGAACCAAGUUACUCCAGGGAUAACAGCGCCAUCUUCUUCAAGAGUCCAUAUCAAAAAGAAGGUUUACGACCUCGAUGU
rnacentral:rRNA from 1 species